GGAUGAAUGGCUGAGCGGUUUAAAGCACCAAUUUUGAAAAUUGGCAUAAAUACUUAUCGUGGGUUCGAAUCCUACUUCAUCCG
rnacentral:tRNA from 1 species